rnacentral:lncRNA from 1 species
AUGGCGCUGCACUGCAUUGGGGGCUGCGCUGCACUGCAUGGCGCUGCACUGCACGGCGCUGCGUUGCACUGCACGGCGCUGCACUGCAUGGUGCUGCGUUACACUGCAUGGUGCUGCACUGCAUGGUGCUGCACUGCAUGGCGCUGCGUUACACUGCACGGCGUGGCGCUGCCAGCACAGCACUGCAUUGCAUUGCGCUGCGUGGUGCUGCGUGGCACUGCAAGAUGCUGCACGGCACUGCACUACGCUGCAUUGCAUGGCACUGCAUGGUGCUACACUGCGUUGCACUGCAUGGUGCUGCACUGCAUGGGCUGCGUGGUGCUGCACUGCAUUGCAGUGUGCUGCAGUGUGCUGCGUUGCACUGCAUGGUGCUGCGUGGCGCUGCAUGGUGCUGUGUUGCAUUGCAUGGCGCUGCAUUGUAUUACAGGGUGCUGCAUGGUGCUACAUGGUGCUGCACUGUGUUGCACUGCAUGGUGCUGCACUGUGUUGCACUGCAUGGUGCUGCACUGCAUGAGCUGCGUGGCACUACACCGCACUGCACCGCGCUGCAUAGUGCUGCAUUGCAUUGCAUGGUGCUGCAUGGCGCUGUGUUACGUCGCAUGGCGCUGCAUGGUGCUGCAUUGCAUUGCAAGGUGCUGCAUGGCACUACAUGGUGCUGCACUGCAUUGUGUGGGGCUGCACAGUGCUGCACUGCACUGCACUGCACUGCAUGGUGCUGCAUUGCACUGUAUGGUGCUUCAUGGGGCCGCAUGGUGCUGCGCUGCAUGGCAUUGCAUUGCACUGAGUGGUGCCGCAUUGCAUUGCAUUUGCGCUGCAUGGUGCCUCACUGCAUUGCUCUGUGGCUGCAUGGGGGCGCAUGGUGCUGCAUUGCACUGCAUGGUGCUGCAUGGGGCCGCACAGUGCUGCGCUGCAUUGCAUUGCACUGAGUGGUGCUGCAUUGCAUUGCAUUGCGCUGCACAGUGCUGCGCUGCAUUGCAUGGGGCUGCAUUGCACUGCACUGAGAGGUGCUGCAUUGCAUCGGAUGGUGCUGCAUGGUGCUGUGCUGCAUUGCACUGCAUGGAGUGGUGCUGCAUUGCAUUGCAUGGCGCUGCACUGCACGGAGUGGUGCUGCAUUGCACUGCACGGUGCUGCACUGCAUUGCAUGGCGCUGCACGGUGCUGCAACACUGCAGGACUGCAGCACUGCAUGGCGCUGCAUCGCAGCCCCACAGGUGACGCUGAGCCCCACAGCCCCCCCAGCCCCACUGCAGCCCCCCAACAGACCACAAAGCCCCACAACCCCCCCCAGCCCCGUUUCAACCCCCAG